rnacentral:tRNA from 2 species
GGCGGGGUAGCUCAGCUGGUUAGAGCGCAGGACUCAUAAUCCUGAGGUCGAGGGUUCGAGUCCCUCCCCCGCUACCA